GACUCGGUAGCGGACGGACCGCGCCCGUAAUCCAUGAACAAGACGAGCGUCGAGCGAUUGUCUAGCGGGAGGUGCCUGUUCGAACCAGGCCCGAGUCA